CAAUAGCGUAUAUUAAAGUUGUUGCAGUUAAAAAGCUCGUAGUUGAACUUCUGGUGAGGAGUAAGUUUGGCUUUGGUCGGCUUAAAUCUCAUCAUCCGAUUGCAAACUAUAUUUUUGUUAUUCAGUUAACAAUAUAGGGAGCAAUCAAUUUACUUUGAAAAAAUUAGAGUGUUUCAGGCAGGCAAUCGCCCGAAUACAUUAGCAUGGAAUAAUGGAAUAGGACUUUGGUUCAUUUGGUUGGCUAUUGAAUCAGAGUAAUGAUUAAUAGGGACAGUUGGGGGCAUUAGUAUUUAAUUGUCAGAGGUGAAAUUCUUGGAUUUAUUAAAGACUAACUUAUGCGAAAGCAUUUGCCAAGGAUGUUUNCAUUAA
rnacentral:rRNA from 1 species